UUUACUGAUUGUACCGCCCGUAAGGCAGGCUAAUAUCCGCUGAAGGCAAGAACUGCAAGAUUUUUAUGCUGCCGUCCGGCAGGCGCCAGAAGGCCUGGGACCCCGCCCGGGACCGCCUGCCGAAGACGAAACACAGUAGUAGGUUCACAGUGGUUUGGAGAGGGUUUUUGUCCUCAUUAAUGAUCCCUCCGCUGGUUCACCAACGGAGA
rnacentral:misc_RNA from 1 species